rnacentral:rRNA from 1 species
AUUGAACGCUGGCGGCAUGCCUUACGCAUGCAAGUCGAACGGUAACGCGGGGCAACCUGGCGACGAGUGGCGAACGGGUGAGUAACGCAUCGGAACGUGCCCAAUAGUGGGGGAUAGCCCGGCGAAAGCCGGAUUAAUACCGCAUACGACCUACGGGUGAAAGCAGGGAUCGCAAGACCUUGCGCUAAUGGAGCGGCCGAUGUCAGAUUAGGUUGUUGGUGGGGUAAAAGCCCACCAAGCCGACGAUCUGUAGCUGGUCUGAGAGGACGACCAGCCACACUGGGACUGAGACACGGCCCAGACUCCUACGGGAGGCAGCAGUGGGGAAUUUUGGACAAUGGGCGCAAGCCUGAUCCAGCCAUGCCGCGUGCGGGAUGAAGGCCUUCGGGUUGUAAACCGCUUUUGUUAGGGAAGAAAUCUUUUGAGCUAAUACCUCGGAAGGAUGACGGUACCUAAAGAAUAAGCACCGGCUAACUACGUGCCAGCAGCCGCCGCUGUAA